rnacentral:piRNA from 1 species
UCAAAUAAUUAUAUAGGAUUAAAUGUGGUUC